UUAGUUUUUUUGCAUUUUUAAAUUUCAAUAUUUUCCCUUCUAGAAACCCCAACAUUUACAUAACAACAAUACUCACUACUCUAUUAGCAAGAUUAACCACAAAUGUUGUAUCCGGUGGGAGAAAAAACUGAUAACAGAUAUUGAGAAAAAACGGGUGCAUCGCUAUUCUUUCGUCAUUAAUGGUCGAAUGAAUUAGUUGGAAAUUAUUGUCCAGUAGGAAUUGGAUCUUUUCUUCUUCGUUACUAACCUGGUUUAUUAAAGUCGGUGCUUGUGGAGAUUGGGUCAGCAAAGAUAUGUAAAAUCCUCUAUCUAAGUUUUCUCUGCUUUAUGUUAUUACUUAACGUCUAUGUGUCCAUUGGCAAUUUUUAUGUCAUUGUUCUAGUUCGUCUUGGAACUUGGACAGUAGAUUGCAGUUAUAACCUGCCUUCUAAUUUUAGAUGAUAAGGGGAAUAAUGUGCUGAAUGGAUCUUCCAAGUACUCUAUCACAAUGGUGGUGUUUAUGCAUAAGCUUCUUUAUAUUUUGUUCUGUUCAUUCUAGACCUGUUUGCAAAUGCAAGUAGUUAUUACGUCAGGGAUUUUGUUUUUUAGUUAGCUUAUGAACUUCCCUUCACUUGUGCACUCUUUAAUUUUUAAUUUUUUUUCUUACAAUUUUUCCAUAGUAUAGGGGAUUCUUGUAACCCCUGAAAAAUGAAAGCAGAGUUAUUGAUUGCUUCUUAUAUGGAUGGAAUGAACAUGUGGAAUGCUAAGUAGAAUUAAUAUACUAAUGUUGGAUAAAAUAGCUAAUAUAAGCUUAUUGAUCAUGAUCCAGUAGUUAAGUAACACUUGGUAAUGGCUUUCCUUGUUUCCAAUAAAUUGCAGUUGUACCGGUCUGUUGGUUUGUCUUAUGCUCGCUGGAGCUUGGUUGGGUUAUUGGGUGGUACCUAAACAUGUUCUAACACAAGAAGGAUCCAGUGAUUCAAGUACAGCUGUUUUCGUCGCUUGGUCAAUUCGCAGCUGUCAUGAUUAUUCAGCUAUAACAUUAAAUAGUUGGCAUCUAAUGGUUACAAUAAGCACACUUCAUGUGGCACGAAGAUUCAAUGUUUUUGAGACCAAGGCAAUUGAUACCGAAACUGUAAUGCUUUGGUAUCCUAAAUGGCGUGUCUACUGGCCUUCUCAAUUUAUGUCUUGGGUUCAGUUCCACUGGAUUCUACCAGGUUAACUAUUUUGAUUUUAUCUUAUGAUCAUUUGAAUAUAGGAUCUGAUUACUUUAGUUUGGUUGUAGUCGUGAAAGCUUAAUCCAGAUGAAAUGAUUUUUCUGUGAAGAUGAUGAAACUUGCAGUAAUACCCUUACUGUAUUGUCGGAGACCCUGUUCCUUAACAAGGUGAGUUUAUCUGUUGUUCAAGUUUGUAUAAGCAAUUGUAUUUGUUUUGUCAAUGUAUUACUUAAACUCUGUCUCAGCCAUGGACUAUCAAAGUUCAUACUUUUGUAAUC